rnacentral:rRNA from 1 species
GGCGGAAAAGAAACCAACAGGGAUUGCCUCAGUAACGGCGAGUGAAGCGGCAACAGCUCAAAUUUGAAAUCUGGAGCCUUCGGCUUCCGAGUUGUAAUUUGAAGAGGAUGUUUCGGUGCGACCUGGGCCUAAGUUCCUUGGAACAGGACGUCAUGGAGGGUGAGAAUCCCGUACAUGGCUGCAGGUUUGCUUCUAUGUGAAACUCCUUCGAAGAGUCGAGUUGUUUGGGAAUGCAGCUCAAAAUGGGUGGUAAAUUUCAUCUAAAGCUAAAUAUUGGCGGGAGACCGAUAGCGCACAAGUAGAGUGAUCGAAAGAUGAAAAGCACUUUGAAAAGAGAGUUAAACAGUACGUGAAAUUGUUGAAAGGGAAGCGCUUGCAAUCAGACUCGCCUUCAGUUGAUCAGCCUUCCUUCUGGUUGGUGCACUCUGCUGUUGGCGGGCCAGCAUCAGUUGGGGCGGUGGGACAAAGGCGGCAGGAAUGUGGCUCGCUUCGGUGAGUGUUAUAGCCUGCUGUGUCAUGCCACCAGUCCCGAUUGAGGUCCGCGGUUCGCCUAGGAUGCUGGCUUAAUGGUUGUAAGCGACCCGUCUUGAAACACGGACCAAGGAGUCUAACAUCUAUGCGAGUCUUUGGGUGUAAAACCCAUGGGCGGAAUGAAAGUGAACGGAGGUGGGAGUCCUCGGAUGCACCAUCGACCGAUCCUGAUGUUCUCGGAUGGAUUUGAGUAUGAGCAUAGCUGUUGGGACCCGAAAGAUGGUGAACUAUGCCUGAAUAGGGUGAAGCCAGAGGAAACUCUGGUGGAGGCUCGCAGCGGUUCUGACGUGCAAAUCGAUCGUCAAAUUUGGGUAUAGGGGCGAAAGACUAAUCGAACCAUCUAGUAGCUGGUUCCUG